rnacentral:lncRNA from 1 species
AUUUGGGGGAAAAUUGGGUGAAUUCGGGGGAAAUACGGGAAAAUUUGGGGGAAAUUCGGGAAAAUUUAGGGAAUUCGGGGGAAUUUGGGGUAAAUUUGGGAGAUUUCGGGGAAAUAUGGGUGAAUUUGGGGGAAAUACAGGAAAAUUUGGGGAUUUUUAGGGAAAUUUGGGAGAUUUCGAGGAUUAACAUUAAUUAACGCUAAUUAGCGGUAAUGACUCACCCGAUGAAGCAGCAGGGGGUGGAUUUGGGGUUAAUUUUGUGUUAAUUUGGGUUAAUUUCGUGCAGAUUUUCGCGGUUUUUUUAAUUAAUUCCCGCGUUUUUGGGUUAAUUAUCGCUAAUUAACAUUAAUUAACGCUAAUUACCGCUAAUGACUAACCCGAUGAAGCAGCAGGGGGUGGAUUUGGGGUUAAUUUGUGUUAAUUUGGGUUAAUUUCGCGCAGAUUUUUGGGGGUUUUUUGGUUAAUUCCCGCGGUUUUGGGUUAAUUAUUGUUAAUUAAUAUUAAUUAACGCUAAUUACCGCUAAUGACUCACCCGAUGAAGCAGCCGGGGGUGGAUUUGGGUGAAUUUGGGUGAAAUUUGGGGUUAUUUGGGUUAAUUUGUGUUAAUUUCGCGCAGAUUUUCGGGGUUUUUUGGUUAAUUCCCGCGUUUUUGGGUUAAUUCCCGUUAAUUAACAUUAAUUAACGCUAAUUAUCGCUAAUGACUCACCCGAUGAAGCAGCAGGGGGUGGAUUUAGGGUUAAUUUUGGGUUAAUUUGGGUUAAUUUCACGCAGAUUUUUGGGGGUUUUUUGGUCAAUUCCCACGUUUUUGUGUUAAUUAUUGUUAAUGAACAUUAAUUAACGCUAAUUAGCGGUAACGACUCACCCGAUGAAGCAGCAGGGGGUGGAUUUUGGGUUAAUUUGGGUUAAUUUGGGUUAAUUUCGCGCAGAUUUUUGGGGGUUUUUUGGUUAAUUCCCGCUUUUUUGGGUUAAUUAUUGUUAAUUAACAUUAAUUAACGCUAAUUAGCGGUAAUGACUCACCCGAUGAAGCAGCAGGGGGUGGAUUUUGGGUUAAUUUGGGUUAAUUUGUGUUAAUUUCGCGCAGAUUUUCGGGGGUUUUUUGGUUAAUUCCCGCGUUUUUGGGGUAAUUAUUGUUAAUGAACAUUA